AGCACGGUGGCCGAGUGGUUAAGGCGUUGGACUUAAGAUCCAAUGGACGUAUGUCCGCGUGGGUUCGAACCCCCAUCCGUGCUG
rnacentral:tRNA from 1 species